AGUGAACGCUGGCGGUAGGCCUAACACAUGCAAGUCGAACGGCAGCACAGUAAGAGCUUGCUCUUACGGGUGGCGAGUGGCGGACGGGUGAGGAAUACAUCGGAAUCUACUUUUUCGUGGGGGAUAACGUAGGGAAACUUACGCUAAUACCGCAUACGUCCUACGGGUGAAAGCAGGGGAUCUUCGGACCUUGCGCGAUUGAAUGAGCCGAUGUCGGAUUAGCUAGUUGGCGGGGUAAAGGCCCACCAAGGCGACGAUCCGUAGCUGGUCUGAGAGGAUGAUCAGCCACCCUGGAACUGAGACACGGUCCAGACUCCUACGGGAGGCAGCAGUGGGGAAUAUUGGACAAUGGGCGCAAGCCUGAUCCAGCCAUACCGCGUGGGUGAAGAAGGCCUUCGGGUUGUAAAGCCCUUUUGUUGGGAAAGAAAAGCAGCAGGUUAAUACCCCGCUGUUCUGACGGUACCCAAAGAAUAAGCACCGGCUAACUUCGUG
rnacentral:rRNA from 1 species